UACCAAAAGAAUUAUAUAUUACCAGUUGUCCAAGGAUACAGAGUGUACCUCGGCAGAUAAUCAUUUGUUCAUUACCAGAUGGCUGGUCAAACAUAAAAAAUGCAUGCAUGUCAACUAAAAACAAAUGGCCCAACUGAAAGAUGAAUGGAGGUUGCAGACUCUCAUGGCUAAAUCUAUCUUCUUUGCAUUGAAUGGAGGAACAAAUAAAAUGAAUCAAGUUUGCUGUAUAAACACAAGCUCGAUGUUCUUGGCAAAGCCAAUUGAAGCCACCCAGACUAGAAAAUAAUUGAAAAGACCUCAGCAGCAAAAUCUAGAAACGAAGAGAUUAUUUGCAAGAUGCCACAGCAAACCGGAUCUUCUUGGCAUCCCUUAUGUCAUAUUCCUGACAUAGAGCUUGCUGAGACGGUCCGUCCAGAAUCUGUAGAGAUGUGAAUUUUCAAUGAUGAACUGUAUGUAGGUUGCAGUGAUCGAAGAAGCCACAGUGGACUUCGACAUUAUAAUUCAUGCCAGCUUGCCGCAGCAGAGCCUCUUUUCGUUGCAGACUCGGGGUGUGUUUAUUUAAGCAUGCGACGCGGAGCUGAUCUCAUGAAAAACAUGAAAUUCAUGAUUUAUGUGAGGUGUGUUGUAUGGUACCUCAUAAAUAAAUAAUUUUAUUUUUGAGAUAUUAUAAUAAUAAUUAUUUUUUAAUUUUUUUAUUUGAAAA